rnacentral:rRNA from 1 species
CCCGGGCCUUGUACACACCGCCCGUCACAUCACGAAAGUUGCUUGUACCGGAAGCCGGUGGGCUAACCCUUCGGGGGGGCAGCCGUCCAUGGUAUGGGUAGCGAUUGGGGUG